GAUGAACCCUAGCGGCAGGCCUAACACAUGCAAGUCGAGGGAGAAGCCCUUUCGGGGGCAGAAACCGGCGCACGGGUGCGUAACGCGUAUGCAACCUACCUUUCACAGGGGGAUAGCCCGAAGAAAUUUGGAUUAAUACCCCAUAAUAUUAUUGGAUGGCAUCAUUUGAUAAUUAAAACUGCGGUGGUGAAAGAUGGGCAUGCGUCCUAUUAGCUAGUUGGAGUGGUAACGGCACCCCAAGGCUACGAUAGGUAGGGGUCCUGAGAGGGAGAUCCCCCACACUGGUACUGAGACAGGGACCAGACUCCUACGGGAGGCAGCAGUGAGGAAUAUUGGUCAAUGGUCGGAAGACUGAACCAGCCAUGCCGCGUGCAGGAAGAAUGCCUUAUGGGUUGUAAACUGCUUUUAUAUGGGAAGAAUAAGGCGUACGUGUACGUUGAUGACGGUACCAUAUGAAUAAGCAUCGGCUAACUCCGUG
rnacentral:rRNA from 1 species